rnacentral:rRNA from 1 species
CCCCUAGAUGUUCUGGGCCGCACGCGCGCUACACUGAACAGUUCAACAAGUCUUAACCUUGGCCGAUAGGUCUGGGUAAUCUUUGAACGCUGUUCGUGAUUGGGAUAGACCUUUGCAAUUAUGGGUCUUCAACGAGGAAUUCCUAGUAAACGCAAGUCAUCAGCUUGCAUUGAUUACGUCCCUGCCCUUUGUACACACCGCCCGUCGCACCUACCGAUUGAAUGGUCCGGUGAAUAAUUCGGACUGCAGCAGUGUUCAGUUCCUGAACGUUGCAGUGGAAAGUUUAGUGAACCUUAUCACUUAGAGGAAGGAGAANUCGUANCA